rnacentral:rRNA from 1 species
AUACGUAGGGGGCGAGCGUUGUCCGGAAUGAUUGGGCGUAAAGGGCGCGCAGGCGGCCCGGUAAGUCUGGCGUGAAAGUCCUGUUUUUAAGAUGGGAAUUGCUUUGGAUACUGUCGGGCUUGGGUGCAGGAGAGGUAAGUGGAAUUCCCAGUGUAGCGGUGAAAUGCGUAGAGAGUGGGAGGAACACCAGUGGCGAAGUCGCCUUACUGGACUGUAACUGACGCUGAGGCGCGAAAGUGUGCGGAGCAAACAGGAUUAAAGUCCCGUGUUGUGCACGCGGUAAACGGUGAUUGCUAGGUGUAGGGGGUGUCUGCCGCAUCUGUGCCGCAUUCAACACAAUAAGCAGACCGCCUGGGGUGUACGGCCGCAAGGUUGAAACUCAAAGCAAUUGACGGGG